rnacentral:pre_miRNA from 1 species
UCACCUCCGCAGGCUGCUGGCCCCCGGGCUGGGCUGGGAGAGUAUCUCUUUGAAAGGCUCACUCUCAAGCAGGACUAGGGGC